GUGCAGUCUAGAAAACGCAUUGGCAGAUGGUGAUGGAGAGUAGAGUAGUAAGGUGUGGCAUGGCAGGGCAUUAAGAAUAGGAUACUCUUCACUUUCUCAUUGCGGGCUUCUUUGGAUAGAUAGAUCAUUACAUCCUCAGUUCCCCUCUGAUGAACCAAAUUCAUAUAGAUCGCCAUUGGAAUAUUGGUUGCUAACAAGAAGAUGACGGCAAAUGCUACUUUUGAAGGCCAUUUGGUAUAACUGUUUGAAGAACCUUUCCUCAUCACACAUGGAGAAUCAGGUCUUGCCAUAACAGACAAUGCAUAUCCAGAGAACAUCAAUGCUAUUGGCAGCACAGGCAAGACAAACCUGAAUUCUUUGUGGCCCAAUAAACUGUAAAGAACGAUAACCCAUGCAAUGAGACCAGAAUGCUUCCAACAUUUAGACUUGAUACUGCCAGCUAUUGCAAAUGGUAAGAAAGUGAAGAGCAUAACAGGAAAUCCCUGAGAGAAGUACCAGUGCCACUUGUGAGUUCCAUAAUAAUCUCCGCCAGAGGAAAGAAAAUUGAACUUAAGAAAAUUAAGAGGCACUAUGACCCACGAGCCAUACAUCAAACGAUCCAACAAACAAGAAAGACCAAGCACCAAACCCCCAAUGGGAACCACCUCUAGAAUAACGAAUCUCAGUUUAUCACGUGUGACAAACAGUUCAAGAAGGCCAACAUAGACCCAGAUGAUAGCACUUGUUGGUCGAAUUGCACAAGCUAAUGCUGCUACGGUCAAACCCCACUUCCUUGUUGAAACUAAUGAUACUUUACUAGGAUAUUCUCUCAUACAGGGCCAAAAGUACAAACCCACCAGUGUAAGAACAGUUUCCAAGCUAUUGGACAAUGUACGAUUGAAGCAGUAAAACAUGAACCAGUUUGCUAAUUGAGAGAAGAGUGCCCAAUUUGCUACAGAAUAAUUGAAGAGAGCAUAAGAAAGUUUGUACAAGUACAGAUCACCAACUGCAGAAAACAGUGCUUGCAGCAUUCGUGGAGCCUUGGUCAUAAACCAUGGAGUAUCAAGACCUAACAAUGCAAGAACUUUGAACAUCAAAGCAAACACCAAUGGGUGCAAAUAGCUACGAAUCCCCUUCUUCCACUCCCAAGUCAAGUGACCGUACCCAAAUACAAUGCGAUGAGCAACUUCAAGGGCUUGCCAGUGCUCAUCUGGAUUGAAAUAUGUUUGUAUCAGCAGAGAAUUUGCUAUUCGAAAAGCUAGACACAGUGCAAAGAUAUUCUUUGACGAGGAAAAGAUGUUAGAUUUCUGGGACUUUGUUUCUUCUCCUCCUCCUCCUUGUUUGGAGAUAUCAGGGUUUUGAGGUGUGAGUUUAGCGGAUGGUGAUUCAGCUGUACUGCGUCUCUGCCUCAUUCUUCGCACAACUGGCAGCAGGAGAAACGAAGACCGGAAUCUACUCUAAUGCACCAAGCAGGUAUUUUGUUCCUUAACUUUUACUAUGACGUAGAGAGAGAGAGAGAGAGCAAGAGAGCGAAAAAGGAGAUCUGAUCGAAUCGAGAGAGAAAGGUGAACAAGCACGAACCCUUAACCCUACUGUUUCUUCCAAUCCCAAAACUUCUCUUUUUCUAUAUGUGCCUGUAUAGAAAGACAUAUUUCUAUAGAUAGUUCUCUGUGUAUGUUUCUAUAGAUUUGGAUUAGAAUAAAUCGAGAAAGGUUCGAGCUUGCUGUUUGGUUUUUGUUUGUGUUUUGGGGUUUUGCCCUAAUUGAAUUCUGAUUCUGGGAAAAUUUAGGGUUUUUCGGGCUGGUAGUACAGGGAAGCGAAAAACCCUAGUUUUGGGCCAGUCUUGAGAUUCGGUUUGUGUGGAGAAAAAGAAAUUAGGGUUUUGGAGUUACAUGUAUGGCUUCGGGGACCAUAGUUGGAGAGGGAGGUGGAAAUGAUGGAGCUAGAGAGAAGCAGAGGUAUACAGAGAGUAAAGUUUAUACAAGAAAAGCUUUUAAAGGGCCUAAGAACAACAUCAACAAGCUCACGACUACGACUACAACUACGACCACCAUAGCCGCCACCACCAAUACUAACAAUAACACCACCACAAACACUGUCAACACCACAAUAACCACCACCGCAACUGCAACUGCAAACGACGACGACGACAACAACAAUAACAAGAGCAGCAGCAACGACAGGAACAAUGAGAACAACUCUAUUCGAAUGCCGGAGUCGCAAACCCCAGCUUUAGAAGACACAAAUUCGGCCCAGCAACAGCCCAUUUCUCGCCUGGAUGCCAACUCGGACGAUUCUUCUAGCCUCAAUAGGCAUCAAGGAACGCCAGCUGUGGCCCCAAGUGGUCCGGAACUGACUGCUGGCAAUGGGGUAGUGAAGCGAGGUUUGGACAAUAAGGUAAAGAUAAAUUUGGCGUCCAAGUCUAAGCAGGAGAUGAGAGAUCUCAGGAGGAAGCUCGAGAGUGAACUUGAUAUGGUAAGGAGUUUGGUGAAAAGGAUUGAGGCCAAGGAAGUGCAGCUUGGUGUUGGUGGGUAUGGUAAUUCUCGAUUGUCUCUGACUGAGGUUGAUAAUGGAUUGAAGAGGGUAAAUUCGGAGGUGGGCUCAGUGGGUGCUCCUCGUGAGAUUACUACUCCUAUUCUUACUCCUACUCCUAGGCAGUCUAGGCCUUUGAAUCAGCUUAGCAUAUCAGUGUUGGAGAAUAGCCAGGGUCCUGGUGAGACCGUGGAGAAAGAGAAAAGGACACCAAAGGCAAAUCAGUUUUAUAGGAAUUCAGAGUUUUUGCUUGCAAAAGACAAGUUUCCACCAGCAGAGAGUAACAAGAAGUCGAAAUUGAAUGGGAAGAAGCAAGGGGAAAGAGACUUGGGAUUUGGCUUUGGGACGGGAUCUAAGGUUUUCAAGAAUUGUAGUGCUUUGCUUGAGAAAUUGAUGAAGCAUAAGCAUGGUUGGGUGUUUAAUACUCCUGUUGAUGUAAAGACUCUUGGUUUGCAUGAUUACUUUACUAUUAUUAAGCAUCCAAUGGACUUGGGUACUGUGAAGACAAGGCUGACUAAGAAUUGGUACAAGUCGGCUGAAGAGUUUGCGGAGGAUGUGAGACUAACAUUUCAUAACGCUUUGAAGUAUAACCCAAAGGGGCAGGAUGUUCAUAUAAUGGCAGAGGUGCUAUUGAAGGUGUUUGAGGACAAGUGGGCUGUUAUAAAGUCAGAUUAUGAUCGUGAGAUGAGGUUUGCUUCCAGUUAUGAGCUGGGUAUUCCUACACCAACAUCGAGAAAGGCUCCUCUGCUGCCACCCCCUCCUCUUGAUAUGCGGAGGAUUUUGGAUAGAUCAGAAUCGAUGACUCAUCCUCCUGCUGAUCCUAGACCAAAACCUAUUAUUACAACUCCUUCAGGAAGAAUCCCUGCUCUGAAAAAGCCUAAGGCAAAGGAUCCACACAAGAGGGACAUGACUUAUGAGGAGAAGCAGAAGCUUAGCACAAACCUCCAAAGUCUACCUUCAGAGAAGCUGGACAAUAUUAUCCAGAUAAUAAAGAAGAGGAAUUCAUCACUUUGCCAACAUGAUGAUGAAAUUGAAGUGGACAUUGAUAGUGUUGAUGCAGAGACUCUUUGGGAAUUGGAUAGGUUUGUUAUCAACUACAAGAAGAGUUUAAGCAAGAACAAGAGAAAAGUUGAACUCGCCAUUCAAGCGAGAGUAGAAGCUAAGCAGAAUGCCCCGGAGAAGAUACCAGCACCAGUUGUGGCAGAGACACCACUUGAAACUAAGACAGAUGAAAGAAAUGUUUCUGCUUCUUCACCUGUUCCAGUGGAGGAACAGGGAGAUAAUGGAACUAGGUCAAGUAGUUCCAGCAGCUCUAGCAGUGAUUCUGGAUCUUCGUCAAGUGACACUGAUAGUGACAGCUCCUCGGCUUCUGGAUCUGAUGUAGGGCAUUAACUGAGUAGUUGAGUAGUUAUGGUGGGUUCAUUUCCUUUAAUGGAUUUCCUCAAAAUUUAUAUUUUUACAUGAAUUGGGCAACCCCCUGUUAUUGAUUCAUGAAUUUACGAAAUAUGCUCAAUGAUAUGUAUCUGCUACCUGGCUUUCUUUUGGCGUAUUACUUUUUAGUACUUUUGCACUGGCUAGACUGCAAGGGACACUGGCAAUUUGCUAACUGAAGAGCUGUUAAUGGAAUGGUUAGUUUUCGUUGUGAGGAAAAGUGUGAAAGGUUGAUUAAUGGUUGCAGGAGAUGAUCAGUUUGGUGUAUUUUUUAAUCCUUUUCAUUCAUUAUGGGAUUUAUGCAUCUUAUAUAAACGGGUGAAAAUAAAUUUGUUGCACAUCAAAUAAUUUUUUGGGUUAUUUAUAUUGUAUACCUGUUCUGUACCUACACAGGACUGUGUAAGUAGUGUAAGGUUAGGUUGAUAAUGUGGUCUUUGCUGCCCUGGAAAAGCGCCUACUGGCUUUUGGUGAGUUGGUU
rnacentral:misc_RNA from 1 species